UACAGAGGGUGCGAACGUUGCUCGGAUUUACUGGGCGUAAAGCGCUUGUAGGCGGACUGAUGUGUCGGGUGUGAAAUCCCUGAGCUUAACUCAGGAACUGCAUUCGAAACUAUCAGCCUAGAGGAAUUGAGAGGAGAACGGAAUUCCCGGUGUAGAGGUGAAAUUCGUAGAUAUCGGGAGGAACACCAGAUGCGAAGGCGGUUCUCUGGAAAUUAUCUGACGCUGAGAAGCGAAAGCGUGGGGAGCAAACAGG
rnacentral:rRNA from 1 species